GACGAACGCUGGUGGCGUGCUUAACACAUGCAAGUCGAACGAUGAAGCCGGAGCUUGCUCUGGUGAAUUAGUGGCGAACGGGUGAGUAACACGUGAGUAACCUGCCCUUGACUCUGGGAUAACUGCUAGAAAUGGUAGCUAAUACCGGAUACGACCCUCGGCGGCAUCGCCAGGGGGUGGAAAGAAUUUCGGUCAAGGAUGGACUCGCGGCCUAUCAGCUAGUUGGUGAGGUAACGGCUCACCAAGGCGACGACGGGUAGCCGGCCUGAGAGGGUGACCGGCCACACUGGGACUGAGACACUGCCCGGACUCCUACGGGAGGCAGCAGUGGGGAAUAUUGCACAAUGGGCGCAAGCCUGAUGCAGCAACGCCGCGUGAGGGAUGACGGCCUUCGGGUUGUAAACCUCUUUUAGUAGGGAAGAAGCGAAAGUGACGGUACCUGCAGAAAAAGCACCGGCUAACUACGUGCCAGCCGCCGCGGUAA
rnacentral:rRNA from 1 species